rnacentral:tRNA from 3 species
UCUAAAAUGGCAGAUUAGUGCAUUGGACUUAAACCCCAAAAAUGAUAUAAUUAUCUUUUAGAA